CCAAGGCUAAGGCUAUUGGGAGGGAAAACGUGCCAGCAGGAUAUGGUCCUGAACAGUGGAACCUAAUAUGCGACUCAUUUGAUGACGAUAAAUGGAAGAAAAAGUCUGCACGAAAUAUAAAAAACAGAAGCAAAUUGGAAACAAAUCACACAGCUGGCACUUGUUCAUUUGUUAACGUCAUUUACAAAAAGGAACAAGAAACAAAAGUGAAGCCCAAUCCUGUUGAACUAUAUGAGGCUAC